UACGAAGGGGGCUAGCGUUGCUCGGAAUCACUGGGCGUAAAGGGCGCGUAGGCGGAUCUUUAAGUCAGGGGUGAAAGCCUGAGGCUCAACCUCAGAAUUGCCUUUGAUACUGAAGAUCUUGAGACCGGAAGAGGUUAGUGGAACUGCGAGUGUAGAGGUGAAAUUCGUAGAUAUUCGCAAGAACACCAGUGGCGAAGGCGGCUAACUGGUCCGGUUCUGACGCUGAGGUGCGAAAGCGUGGGGAGCAAACAGG
rnacentral:rRNA from 1 species